UACAGAGGUCCCAAGCGUUGUUCGGAUUCACUGGGCGUAAAGGGUGCGUAGGCGGUCGGGUAAGUCUGAUGUGAAAUCUCCAAGCCUAACUUGGAAACUGCAUUGGAUACUAUCCGGCUAGAGGAAUGGAGGGGGACUGGAAUACUUGGUGUAGCAGUGAAAUGCGUAGAUAUCAAGUGGAACACCAGUGGCGAAGGCGAGUCUCUGGACAUUUCCUGACGCUGAGGCACGAAAGCCAGGGGAGCAAACGGG
rnacentral:rRNA from 1 species